AUUUUCAGCUUCAUCCAAGUCCAUGAAGGUGUCCUCAUUCCAAUUCUUGGGGACACUUUCCAAAUUCUCACCCUAACUUUUGCUGGGAAAUGUGGGCUAUGAAAUGUAUCUAAAUCUCAUUUAGAUUCAGGGGGUUCUUUAUUACAAUAAAUAAUUUGAAUAUCAGUGUCAUUCCAUCCCAUGGAUUACCAGCAUCCCAUUUCAUGACAAAGAGCUCAACAUUUCAUUCAAGUCUAAAGACAAACCCAAACACCUCAAAAAUUCCAUCUUUGAGAGUCUGUUUCCUGGGACUCCUGAUCCCAAUUUUAGUUCAUUUCUGAUCCACACACUGAGUGGAGAAACCUCAUCAAGAGCUUUUUGCAUCAGAUUCCAAAAUGAAGUCUUUCCAGCUGAGGCCCU
rnacentral:lncRNA from 1 species